rfam:Brevibacterium linens strain AE038-8 ctg16, whole genome shotgun sequence.
CACGACCCCACGGGAGCCCUCUGCAAGGGCUGAGAUCGGACUGCAUCGUCCGAGACCGUAGAACCUGAUCCGGUUGAUACCGGCGUAGGAAGUGAGGACUGCAGAUGAC